rnacentral:rRNA from 1 species
CCUACGGGGCGCACCAGUAGGGAAUCUUCGGCAAUGGACGAAAGUCUGACCGAGCAACGCCGCGUGAGUGAAGAAGGUUUUCGGAUCGUAAAACUCUGUUGUUAGAGAAGAACAAGGACGUUAGUAACUGAACGUCCCCUGACGGUAUCUAACCAGAAAGCCACGGCUAACUACGUGCCAGCAGCCGCGGUAAUACGUAGGUGGCAAGCGUUGUCCGGAUUUAUUGGGCGUAAAGCGAGCGCAGGCGGUUUCUUAAGUCUGAUGCGAAAGCCCCCGGCUCAACCGGGGAGGGUCAUUGGAAACUGGGAGACUUGAGUGCAGAAGAGGAGAGUGGAAUUCCAUGUGUAGCGGUGAGAUGCGUAGAUGUAUGGAGGAACACCAGUGGCGAAGGCGGCUCUCUGGUCUGUAACUGACGCUGAGGCUCGAAAGCGUGGGGAGCAAACAGGAUUAGAUACCCGGGUAGUC